GUGGGGAAUUUUGGACAAUGGGCGAAAGCCUGAUCCAGCCAUGCCGCGUGCAGGAUGAAGGCCUUCGGGUUGUAAACUGCUUUUGUACGGAACGAAAAGACUCCUUCUAAUAAAGGGGGUCCAUGACAGUACCGUAAGAAUAAGCACCGGCUAACUACGUGCCAGCAGCCGCGGUAAUACGUAGGGUGCAAGCGUUAAUCGGAAUUACUGGGCGUAAAGCGUGCGCAGGCGGUUAUAUAAGACAGAUGUGAAAUCCCCGGGCUCAACCUGGGAACUGCAUUUGUGACUGUAUAGCUAGAGUACGGUAGAGGGGGAUGGAAUUCCGCGUGUAGCAGUGAAAUGCGUAGAUAUGCGGAGGAACACCGAUGGCGAAGGCAAUCCCCUGGACCUGUACUGACGCUCAUGCACGAAAGCGUGGGGAGCAAACAGGAUUAGAUACCCCGGUAGUCC
rnacentral:rRNA from 1 species